rnacentral:rRNA from 1 species
RCAACUUUCAGCAACGGAUCUCUUGGCUCUCGCAUCGAUGAAGAACGCAGCGAAAUGCGAUAAGUAAUGUGAAUUGCAGAAUUCAGUGAAUCAUCGAAUCUUUGAACGCACCUUGCGCUCCUUGGUAUUCCGAGGAGCAUGCCUGUUUGAGUGUCAUGAA